ensembl:lncRNA
UCACUCUGCAGCGGUACAUUCAACCCUGAACCCUGUGCACACUGAUUCCAGCAGUGUGGAUUCUCGGGGCCUAAGCCUCGGGGAGAAUCCCUCAGCAGCCCAACUCCCAGACUCUGGUGCCACCUCUGAAGAGGAGUGCACCAACAGCUACUUGACGCUGUGCAAUGAGUAUGAGCAGGAGAAGCUUGAGCCAGACGAGGACCAGUGCUCACUCGCUCCUGUGUUAACACAGAAACAUACAUGCUCAGUGUUGAGCACUGAUAGUCUGUGCUCUCCGAUAUCGAUGCAGGAACUGUGCUUCUUCACUGAGGAAGAGCAAGUAGUCGGCUUUGAGGACCAGUGCACACAUUCACCUGACCAUCCGAACCAAUCACCACCAACAGAGCUCUUCCACAGUGACAGGCAAGAAGUCUGCAAGCCAUCGUUUGUACCCUCAGAUGUUGGUGUAGAGCUCACAGAGGAGCCAGUGGAGAUGAUACAGGAAGUGUCGGAUCUCUGGAGGUCUGAUAGUGAUCGAUGCUCGAACGAUCUGGUGCCGGUGAUUUCCUUUAAAGAGGCUGUACUGGAGGAUGCCACUGUCAGCUGUGCUGUUGAGGGACAACCGCCUGAUCUGUUGGUCAAUCUGCCCGUGCUUGAAGAUGGCACAGUGGACACGCAGGAUGAAGAGCUUAUUACUGGAGACAUCGCUUUUGCUGCAGUGGCCAAAACCUCUCCUACAUUCGGCAAGCCAGAUGUUCUACAGAGAGGAGAGAAAGAGGAGUUGGACCAGUCCAUUGAUGUGGCCACUUUUCCUGUUCUACACAGACCAUCAAAAACAUAUUUUAGAACGGACUCAUUGACUCUGUCUUCCCCAGAGCUCUCUGGCACGCUGGACGCAGCUGUUCCCAGAACUCAGAUGGGCUUUGUUGAACAUGAAGAAUUGGGGCUGAGGUCCAAACGCCCUAUAGGAGAACAGGAGGAUGAGGAAGUGUCGAAGUUGUUUCAGGAGCUGGAUAAGUUGGCCGCAGUUUCAUUAGACACACGCAUCCCAGAGGCUCUAGUGAGGAACUGGGCUGCUGACAUGGUUAUGGCUCUGGAUGCUCUGCAUCAGGAGGGCAUUAUAUGCCGAGACCUGA